rnacentral:lncRNA from 1 species
GGAAUGGCAGAUGAUUUAGCUCUUAUGAAUACUCUAACUCCCAAUGGAAAAUGGAGUAGAGACAAAGUAGAAAUGUGGGAUUAUUGGAACAUAUAAUAAAGAAAACUUCCAACAUACACAAAAUAGAUUAGCAUAAUGAAUCUUGAAAGAAGUCGGAACUUAAACACUGGAGGAGAGAACACUACCAUAGCUGCUGGUAUUUCUGAGAUGGCAAAAUAAGGCUAGUUCUGGGAAUACAUAAAGAAGGUGGAAAUUGGAACCAAAUGUUUCUUAAAUGUAAAAAGCCAUUGCUAGGGUGAAGCUGACACAAACAGCCAGCUAAUAGAAAGGAGCAAACAAAGUUGGAAAAUAUUCAAAAUACAUAAUGCAUAGUGAUAGUGCAAGUGUGUGCCAAAUGUGUCCUCAUACACUGUUUAUGGUAAUAUUAAUAGUAUACAAUCUUUCUGAAGGCAAUGUGUCAAUAUGUUUCAGAACCAUAAAAAUGUUCAUACUGUUUCAUAAGGUGAUCCACAUUUGGUAGUUUAUUUAAAGACAAGAUUCAGAGAUGUGGCCCAAAAUUUGCAUUCCUAAUGGUAAUAAAAUACAUUCAACAUGGAAAUAGAGACCAAACAAUUAACCUGAGCAAGGAUUAUGCCCAAAUCACCUCCUCCAGGAAGCCUUCCAGACAAUCUAUAAUGUGAAGUAGCUACCUCAUCUGCGAGCUCCCAUUGUCCCCUGCACUUCCCCCUAAUUCACCAUGCUUACAGUACUCUGUAAGGUGACGGUUUGACUAUUUCUCUUAUCCCCACCUGAUGGUGUGACCCUUGUGUCUUUAUCUCUGUAUCUUCAGCACCUGCUCAAAGAAGGAUUCAAUAAAUAUUAAUUGAAUGAAUUGAGGAAAAAAAAUAAGGAAAAAGGACAUUUUUUCAUGAAAAAGGCAUUGAUCUGUAGACAUGACAAAAAUGUGUAGGGGUAAAUUCAUAAUUCUUUUAAUUUAAAAAAAUCAAUAGCUGAGUCUUCCACUUUAUGAACAAUGUAAGGCCUGUGCUGAGUUUCUUUCAUUCACUUUGCCAGAUCCACACCACACCCUUCUCCGCCCUGGUCUGUGCUACUGGAAACUGACCUGCAUGGACUGUGUCUACUGAAUCCCUUGCCCUCUAGAUUCCAUGAGGUUCUGUCAGUGGGAAGCCUGGUGGCAGAUUGGGUUGAUAGGAGAAUGAGGUAAGACUGUUAAUUUCCUUGCUCCCUGCCUGCUGGGUCAUUGGGAAUCAUUUGGUCUCUCUUUGGGAAGCUUCAGCUCUGGUUGGGCAGUUAUCUCCAAACAGCCACCCACUCUGUGCUACAGUAUCUGCUCUCUCUCCUUGCUUCUUCAGGCCUAGAAAUAAUACUGUCUCUCAGGCCGGGUGCGGUGGCUCACGCCUGUAAUCCCAGUACUUUGGGAGGCCGAGGUGGGCAGAUCAUGAGGUCAGGAAUUUGAAACCAGCCUGGCCAGCACGGUGAAACCCCAUCUAUACUAAAAGUACAAAAAUUAGCCAGGCAUGGUGGUGCAUGCCUGUAAUCCCAGCUACUUGGGAGGCUGAGGCAGGAGAAUCCCUUGUUCCCAGGAGGCGGAGGUUGCAGUGAGCCAGGAUCGCGCCGCUGCCCUCCAGCCUGGGUGACAGAGUGAGACUCCUUCUCAAAAAAAAAAAAAAGAAAAAGAAAAAAAAA